GACGAACGCUGGCGGCGUGCUUAACACAUGCAAGUCGAACGAAGUGGCGAACGGGUGAGUAACGCGUAAUCAACCUGCCCUUCAGAGGGGGACAACAGUUGGAAACGACUGCUAAUAACGCAUACUGAAGGAAGGGAUUGCGUCUGAUUAGCUAGUGGGAGGGGUAAAGGCCCACCAAGGCGAUGAUCAGGAGCCGGUCUGAGAGGAUGAACGGCCACAAUGGGACGUAGACACGGCCCAGACUCCUACGGGAGGCAGCAGUGGGGAAGCUUCCGCAAUGGACGAAAGCCUGACGGAGCAACGCCGCGUGAGGGAUUACGGCCUUCGGGUUGGAAAGCUCUGUUAAUCGGGACGCGGUACCGGAAUAGAAAGCCACGGCUAACUACGUGCCAGCAGCCGCGGUAAUAC
rnacentral:rRNA from 1 species